rnacentral:lncRNA from 1 species
UAGGCACAACAACUGACUAAGAAAAACUCAAAACUCAAUUACUAAGAUUUACCAAAUGAUGCAUUGAUCGGUGAAGACAUUAAUGAAACUCACAGCCUUAAACAAAAAUGAAAUCAGAAAUGCUACACAUAAAACCAACACUCAAACGACUAACGCAAGCAAAAAAUCCUAUCAAUUGUGAGGUAAACCAGAAUAAUCAAUUAAGUUAAAACAUAAAUGAAAAUUCAGAAAUUAGAUUGUCACUUAACCAAAACAAUCACUAACAAAAUUUACACUACAAAAGAAAAUUCCGAUGAAAUGACAAAGAAACAGAAAAUUCAAAAGAUGGAGCAAAUCAUUAAUGUUCGAGUUUUACUAAAUUUGAGUGUUCGUAAAGUGGUAGCAUAGUGACGAUUGGGUAGCGAGACAUGGAGGGACACUCAUACGGCUUCGAGCAAGCGUCUAUCGUUGAUUUUAACCCAAACCAUAACUCCGCAUAAUUGGAGGCCAGUUUCGAUGAAAAUCAACAGCAAAAACUUGCUCGAGGCUAGUGUGAAGAGAGCAACAGAAGGCCACAGAAUGGUAGAAACGGAGGUCAGCAGUGGUCUCGGCAGUGGAGGUGCUUGGCCAGCGGCAGUGUGGUUUUUUUUAGGGUAAAAAUAGAGGGAAAAUAUAAAUCUCUUGGAGAUCUACAUGUGUAUGUGAAAUUUUUGUGGUGGGGCGGUCGGAUUUGUCUCUAUAUGAGAAGAAAGAGGAAAAAUUGGGCGGCUAGGGUUUCAGGUUUAGCCUAGAUAUGCGGGGAUUGAGAGGGAUUUAAGAGAUUUGGGGUUUGGAUUCAUGGAAAAGGAGGUUGAGACAAAGAAAGGGUGAAGUUUUGGGGAGGUUUAGAGGUGGUCCGCCAGCUAUGGUGAUUUCUGACUGGCUGAGAUAGGGGAGAGCAAAGAAGAGAGAGGAAAAAGAAAGAAUAGGGGAAAAUGGGUGCAAAAUUUUGUCUCU